CUCUACAACACAGGUAGUUUACUGUGGUCGUUCAUCACUUUACAACACAGGUAGUUUACUGUGGUCGUUUAUCAUACUCUACAACACGGGUAGUUUACUGUGGUCGUUCAUCAUACUCUACAACACGGGUAGUUUACUGUGGUCGUUUAUCAUACUCUACAACACGGGUAGUUUACUGUGGUCGUUUAUCAUACUCUACAACACGGGUAGUUUACUGUGGUCGUUUAUCAUACUCUACAACACAGGUAGUUUACUGUGGUCGUUCAUCAUACUCUACAACACGGGUAGUUUACUGUGGUCGUUUAUCAUACUCUACAACACAGGGGUAGUUUACUGUGGUCGUUCAUCAUACUCUACAACACAGGUAGUUUACUGUGGUCGUUCAUCAUACUCUACAACACAGGGGUAGUUUACUGUGGUCGUUUAUCACUCUACAACACAGGUAGUUUACUGUGGUCGUUUAUCAUACUCUACAACACAGGUAGUUUACUGUGGUCGUUCAUCAUACUCUACAACACAGGGGUAGUUUACUGUCAUCGUUUAUCAUACUCUACAACACAGGGGUAGUUUACUGUGGUCGUUUAUCAUACUCUACAACACGGGUAGUUUACUGUGGUCGUUUAUCAAUCAUACUCUACAACACAGGUAGUUUACUGUGGUCGUUUAUCAUACUCUACAACACAGGUAGUUUACUGUGGUCGUUUAUCAAUCAUACUCUACAACACAGGUAGUUUACUGUGGUCGUUUAUCAUACUCUACAACACAGGUAGUUUACUGUGGUCGUUUAUCAAUCAUACUCUACAACACAGGUAGUUUACUGUGGUCGUUUAUCAUACUCUACAACACGGGUAGUUUACUGUGGUCGUUAUCAUACUCUACAACACGGGUAGUUUACUGUGAUCGUUUAUCACUCUACAACACAGGUAGUUUACUGUGGUCGUUUAUCAUACUCUACAACACAGGUAGUUUACUGUGGUCGUUCAUCAUACUCUACAACACAGGUAGUUUACUGUGGUCGUUCAUCAUACUCUACAACACAGGGGUAGUUUACUGUGGUCGUUUAUCAAUCAUACUCUACAACACAGGUAGUUUACUGUGGUCGUUUAUCAUACUCUACAACACAGGGGUAGUUUACUGUGGUCGUUCAUCAUACUCUACAACACAGGGGUAGUUUACUGUCAUCGUUUAUCAUACUCUACAACACAGGGGUAGUUUACUGUGGUCGUUUAUCAUACUCUACAACACGGGUAGUUUACUGUGGUCGUUUAUCAAUCAUACUCUACAACACAGGUAGUUUACUGUGGUCGUUUAUCAUACUCUACAACACAGGUAGUUUACUGUGGUCGUUUAUCAAUCAUACUCUACAACACAGGUAGUUUACUGUGGUCGUUUAUCAUACUCUACAACACAGGUAGUUUACUGUGGUCGUUUAUCAUACUCUACAACACAGGUAGUUUACUGUGGUCGUUUAUCAAUCAUACUCUACAACACAGGUAGUUUACUGUGGUCGUUUAUCAUACUCUACAACACAGGUAGUUUACUGUGGUCGUUUAUCAUACUCUACAACACAGGUAGUUUACUGUGGUCGUUUAUCAUACUCUACAACACAGGUAGUUUACUGUGGUCGUUUAUCAUACUCUACAACACAGGGGUAGUUUACUGUGGUCGUUUAUCAUACUCUACAACACAGGGGUAGUUUACUGUGGUCGUUUAUCAAUCAUACUCUACAACACAGGUAGUUUACUGUGGUCGUUUAUCAAUCAUACUCUACAACACAGGUAGUUUACUGUGGUCGUUUAUCAUACUCUACAACACAGGUAGUUUACUGUGGUCGUUUAUCAUACUCUACAACACGGGUAGUUUACUGUGGUCGUUUAUCAUACUCUACAACACGGGUAGUUUACUGUGGUCGUUCAUCAUACUCUACAACACAGGUAGUUUACUGUGGUCGUUCAUCAUACUCUACA